GAUGAACGCUGGCGGCGUGCCUAAUACAUGCAAGUCGAGCGAACAGACGAGGAGCUUGCUCCUUCGACGUUAGCGGCGGACGGGUGAGUAACACGUAGGUAACCUUCCUAUAAGACUGGGAUAACUUCGGGAAACCGGAGCUAAUACCGGAUAAUAUUUCGAACCGCAUGGUUCGAUAGUGAAAGAUGGCUUUGCUAUCACUUAUAGAUGGACCUGCGCCGUAUUAGCUAGUUGGUAAGGUAACGGCUUACCAAGGCAACGAUACGUAGCCGACCUGAGAGGGUGAUCGGCCACACUGGAACUGAGACACGGUCCAGACUCCUACGGGAGGCAGCAGUAGGGAAUCUUCCGCAAUGGGCGAAAGCCUGACGGAGCAACGCCGCGUGAGUGAUGAAGGUCUUCGGAUCGUAAAACUCUGUUAUUAGGGAAGAACAAACGUGUAAGUAACUGUGCACGUCUUGACGGUACCUAAUCAGAAAGCCACGGCUAACUACGUG
rnacentral:rRNA from 1 species